GGCUAUGUGGUGUAAAGAUUUGCAUAUCACACUGUCAAUGUGGAGGAUAGGGUUCAAUUCCCUCAUAGUCU
rnacentral:tRNA from 1 species